rnacentral:piRNA from 1 species
UUAACGAAAAACAUUGAAUUU